GUUCCCUAAUGGCUGCUCUCUGUACAGUAGAGAGAUUAUCUGUACGGGCUAUGGAAUAGCAUGGACGUCCCUCCAGAGGUCCCGCCGGAUAUCUUGGUUGGGGAGAGGAAUAAAAGUUAGGCCUCUCUCCAACACUUCCACCUGUGCCUCGGAAAGCUGAAAAGUCCACCUCUUCGCCGCCCCCUGCCCGGACUCCCCCGCAUGCCCCAGAAGUGGCAGGGUGGCCCCAUUGUCAGCUUUAAGGCCCAUCCGGCCAGCAGUGCAGGGUGCUCGACUGAGCUACAGGCGGCACGCACACGGAGGAAUUCUCAUCAGAGGUAAGUACCGUUAUUUCUUUUUUCAGGGUUCCUGUUUCACCAUUUUGUAUUGCGGCUAUAG